rnacentral:rRNA from 1 species
UACGUAGGCAGCGAGCGUUGUUCGGAAUUACUGGGCGUAAAGAGUGUGUAGGCGGUGCUCUAAGUUCGGUGUGAAAUCUCCUGGCUCAACUGGGAGGGUGCGCCGGAAACUGGAGUGCUUGAGCGUGGGAGAGGAAAGCGGAAUUCCUGGUGUAGCGGUGAAAUGCGUAGAUAUCAGGAGGAACACCUGUGGUGUAGACGGCUUUUCUGGACCAUAGCUGACGCUGAGACACGAAAGCGUGGGUAGCAAACAGG